rnacentral:lncRNA from 1 species
GAUCAUUUCUGAGUCAUUGCUGGAGAGCAGAAGCAGACAGCUGAAUCACAGCUCAGAAAACUGUAAUGAGCUGAGCAGCAUUACAGCUUGUUUCACUUAAUAUUUAUUCUUAAAACAUGACUUCAUUUGUGACGGCUAUACUUGGAGAUCCAGAUACAAGUCCAGCGUGUUUGCCGUAACAAGUUAAUGUGAUGAAAUAUGGAAAAACCUAUUUGCCUCUGUCUUCAAAAUUUGCACAAAGCUCCUUUCUGGUGAGGAUUGUGUUGCACUGAUCUCUACACAUUUUCCUGGCAUGCAAUCCUGUUUGGCCCUUUAUGGGAUUGGUACAAAGACCCUGUGUCUACCUUCCCAGUGAGCUGCAUAAGAGACUGGACACAGUAGAGACACACACAAAGGGUCUGUGAAGUGCUAUGGAGAGGACCCCCCCAGCAGCCUCUGCUGUCAUCAUAUCCACUGUGAAUCAGUUCCGCCCUUCCCUGAUUGCAUCUGUCUGAAAAUAAACCUCUCUGAAAGUGCUCGUUGGUGAUAAUCAUUUUACUGGACAUUUUAUCAGGAGGCAGAGCCAAUUGAUGUGGUGUAACACAGAG